GAUGAAGAACGCAGCGAAAUGCGAUAAGUAGUGUGAAUUGCAGAAUUCAGUGAAUCAUCGAAUCUUUGAGCGCACAUUGCGCCCCUUGGUAUCCCGAGGGGCAUGCCUGUUCGAGCGUCAUUUCACCACUCAAGCCUGGCUUGGUGUUGGGCGACGUCCCCUUUGGGGACGCGCCUCGAAACGCUCGGCGGCGUGGCACCGGCUUUAAGCGUAGCAGAAUCUUUCGCUUUGGAAGUCGGGGCCCCGUCUGCCGGAAGACCUACUCGCAAGGUUGACCUCGGAUCAGGCAGGGAUACCCGCUGAACUUAAGCAUAUCAAUAAGCGGAGGA
rnacentral:misc_RNA from 1 species